rnacentral:rRNA from 1 species
GGAGCCUGAGAAACGGCUACCACAUCUACGGAAGGCAGCAGGCGCGCAAAUUGCCCAAUCCCGACACGGGGAGGCAGUGACAAGAAAUAACAACUCUUGGAUUUCUAAGAAGUGUAAUGAGGAUAAUUUACAACCCUUACCGAAAGCAAUUGGAGGGCAAGUCUGGUGCCAGCAGCCGCGGUAAUUCCAGCUCCAAUAGCGUAUAUUAAAGUUGUUGCAGUUAAAAAGCUCGUAGUUGAAGUUCUGAUUGUUCGGGGCCUCGCGCUUUAUAGCCGAGGAACCGACAGUCAUCCGCUUGCAAAUAUAUGUUCGCCUUUAACCGGGUGGCUAUAUGAGUAAGCAAUUUACCUUGAGAAAAACAGAGUGUUCCAGGCAGGUUUGUCCGGAAUGCAUUAGCAUGGAAUAAUAGAAUAUGACUGAAGUCGAUUUAUUGGUUUAAGGCUUUAGUAAUGAUUAAUAGGGAUAGUUGAGGG